CCUACGGGUGGCAGCAGUGGGGAAUAUUGGGCAAUGGGCGCAAGCCUGACCCAGCAACGCCGCGUGAAGGAAGAAGGCUUUCGGGUUGUAAACUUCUUUUGUCAGGGACGAAGCAAGUGACGGUACCUGUCGACUAAGCCACGGCUAACUACGUGCCAGCAGCCGCGGUAAUACGGAGGUGGCAAGCGUUAUCCGGAUUUACUGGGUGUAAAGGGCGUGUAGGCGGGGAAGCAAGUCAGAGGUGAAAACCACGGGCUCAACCUGUGGCCUGCAUUUGAUACUGUUUUUCUUGAGUGUUGGAGAGGCAAUCGGAAUGUCGGGUGUAGCGGUGAAAUGCGUAGAUAUACGAAGGAACACCAGUGGCGAAGGCGGAUUGCUAGACAGUAACUGACGCUGAGGCGCGAAAGCGUGGGGAGCAAACAGGAUUAGAUACCCCUGUAGUC
rnacentral:rRNA from 1 species